GCGCUUGUGGCGGAACUGGCAGACGCGCCGGAUUUAGGAUCCGGUGGGCAACCGUGCAGGUUCGAUUCCUGUCAGGCGCA
rnacentral:tRNA from 1 species